ensembl:lncRNA
UUUAGUUUUUGCUUUAAUUCUAUUGUGCAGUUAUUUGUUACCCUGAAAUGCUUUAUGCUUAACAACAGCUCACUAUUUUGACUUAUUUUUGAACUCUUGUGAUCAGUAUGACUAGUUUGUGUGAGUUUCCAUACUAAAAGAGCUGUAGUGAUAAAAUAAUUGGCAUCAGAGACACUGAUUUUUGGCAUGGUAUACUGCAGAAGUUUUUUUUUUUUUUUGCAUAAUUUACCUUUUAACUAAACUGCAUUCUCUGUAUUGUAACAAAACUAACAUUGUUUAUAUGUCAGAAAAUUAGCAAACAUGAAUAAAUGGCGAAAACAAUAUAAUUAUAACAUAUAUUUUUAUUUUACUUAUUUUAGGUCUGUGAAGCCAAACUUGAUGCUGGGGAUUUAUUUUUGUCAGUGGAGUCAAAUGAUUUCAGGACAGAGCUUAUUGUUCUCUGAACUUCCUUGUUUGCUGAACGGCAGGUUGAAGCAGAAUUUGCCCGUCUUACAUCUGUUGACCUGAAAGGGUUCCU